rnacentral:tRNA from 1 species
GCCCGCAUGGUGAAACUGGUAAACACUGCGGACUUAAAAUCCGCCGCCCGUAUGGGCUUGCCGGUUCGAGUCCGGCUGCGGGCACCA